AUUGCAGCUGCCUCUCCCGCCGAGUUGGAGACGGAUGGGCUGGGACGGGUUUUGGGGGGGUGUCCCCAAUUCUGACUGGGAGUGGAGGAACCCCUCCUGAGAUCUCUUGUGGGGGUGCCCCCUCCCCAGGGCACUCCCCAGUCCCUGAGCCAGCCGAGAGGAAGGAGGCCAGCGAUGCGACUGGGGCGGCUCCUUUCUCCUGCACCCCAAAUGUGAGGGAUGCACCCUAAAUUUUGCUCUUUUCAAAAUAGGGGACCAGGAUCUCAGGGGAGAGUAGCUGAGGCCUUGCUCGGAGUCCCAGGAGAUCCACAGGUCCGGCAUGAACAGUGAGAGGUCAGAGGUGGAAGGCUCAGCAGGAGAGGAGAGGAGGAUCAGCAGAGGUCAUGAGAAGGCCAGAAUCCAGGGUCAGGCUGUCUGGAACAGGAAGUAAAAUGGGCCGAGAUGGAGCGAGCCCCCAGUGUGCUUCCAAGGCCACUCCCACCUCCCUGAAACACCCUGCUACGUACUGAUCCAAUGCCCUGCGCUGUGUAUGAGAGCACCUUCUCUUCUGAAACCCCUAUACAAGGGAGGGGCCCCUGCGGAGACCGUGCCCUGCCAUCCAGGUGAGCCCUUUCUCCCCAACCCCGUCAGCUGUGUGGGAGGAGGAGGACUCCUACCCUGGUCGAAGUUGAGUUUCUUAGCUGGAGGAGUUUCUCCUAGCCCUUCAAUAUCCACCACGUCACUGUUGGCAUCGGAGUCGUUCAGAGCACUGAGUGUCACAUCUGGGAAGGGGGCAUAAGCUAGGUUCUAGGUUCCCCUGACAGCCUCUCCCCCAGCCCCAAGCUUCCCAAAGCUUUGUGCCUCCUCUCCCCUCCCCUCUGCCCCUCUCUGGGAACCUCCACAGGGACAGGAAGAGAGACUGACCCUUCUUUGACCCAGGCCCAAUUCUCUCACUAAACCUCAGAUGGGACCUUUAACCCCUAGGCAGCAACUCCACAGCCCUCACCAGCCUUCUGUUUCUUUAUGGGGGGACCCCCGGCCUCAGGGACACUGGAGCUGCUGGGAGGAGGGGCAGCUGGAGGAGGUGACAAGACACCAGAUGCCACCUUCUUGGGCCCUUUCUUGGGUGACUCAGCUGGAAGGGGGAUGCCAGAAUCUUCAUAUACCUUGCGUUUCACAGUGGCCUUUAUCUGGGCCCUGAAGAAAAGAGAGAAGAGGUUAGGAAAGGAGUCAUCAGAGAGACUAACAGAAGAGGGGACGGGAGGGGAAGGGGUUCUGGGAGUCCCUUCAUAAGAAUCCAGGUCGGGGCCCCAACCCAUUGGUAGGGUUCUCACUUUCUCGAAGUUUUACACUCACUCAGGAUGGAUGGAGUGUGGAGAGUGGAGUCCCUGAACUGAGUAGUGGGAAAGGCCCAUCUCCUAAUUCUCUUCUGGGAGAGACAUCAGGUAGAGCUUGGUGAUUUACAGGUGGAUUGAGAUUUACUGAUCAACUAGUUCAGGGUCACCAUAUCCCUGGAAACACUGCAGUGGGGUCCUCAAACAUUUAUAUAAAUAACCAGGGGACUUCCAUCAUCAAAUACAAUAACAGCAUCUCAGGCAACCUAAAUUCACAUUCUUGGAAGGAUUACCACAGCAUUUUAGGAACUUCUGACCAACUGUGACAAUUCUAUUCUUUCAGUCCUCAAGGGGAUUCUAAAAAACUAGUGACAAAGUAGGGAAGCAGCUGAGCUGGAAAGGAGUUCUGAGGACGAUGGAACCUUGGGUAAGGAGGAAGAAGGCUGCCCACCCGCCCUUUUCUGGCAGCCACCCUCCCUCACACUGUCCGUUCCUUGAUGACACAGCUGAUGUGAUUAAGAUCGUCCCCAAAUCGCUUCACAGCAGCCCUCAGCAUCUCUAUUUCCGUCUCCGUCCACUUCGCACUGUCAGAAGGGGAGAGGGGGGAUAGCAAAAAUGGGAGGGGGGGUGUGGAGCCCGCCCACAGGCUAUGCAUCCCACAGCCAACCAGCCGCCUCCUUCCGAUUUCUGGGACCCCUUCCACGGAUGCAUAAAGAGGUCCUCCGUAAGGGGAGGCGGAAAGCUCUUGAGGCCCUGCGGGAACCGGGAGGACCCCAAUCACAAGAAAUCACAACCACCUCCACCUUAGACACCCCUUUCCACCAUCAACGUUAAACGGCUGCUGUACACAGCACACUGAAACCAACUCGCCAGGAAGGGCUUUUCAAAACAGACCCACCAACACAGCCUGCAGCCGUCUGGGGGAAUUCCAUGAACUGGGGUGGUUGGGAGUGGCGGUGGUUUGUGGUCGACCCGUUCGCAGCAGGGAGAACUGUGAAACAGGAGUCUGGGCUAUGGGCCUGUCUGUAUUUUUAUCUGUCAUUCAUUCCCUCACCCAACGAUCAUUUAUUAACACCGACUCUGUGCUGUGCCACGCACAAAGGGAAACUAAUGUCUGUCCCUGUGCUAGAGAGGGUCCGUGUCUGUGACCGAGUCCAAGCGCCCGCUCUCAGCGUCCACGUCCCAGUCCGGGCUCACGUACCCCGCAGGAGAAGAGUCGGCCACGGGAUGCAGCUGCAUCGUCAGCUCCCCGAGCUUCGUGAAGGCGGCGCCGGCCGCCGAGAAGAUCUCUCCGACCUGGGGGCGGGGCAGCGUCACGGGGGGCCGGCGCCCGCCCUCCCCGUCCCGCCCGGAGCCCCUAGCCCCACCCCAGGCUCGGCUCCCGCCCGCCCCCCGCCCGGGGCGGAAGAGCCGCGAGCCAAGUGGGGGGCCCGCCCUCCCGUGGCCGCCAGGGAGCGCUGUCCGCGAGGGAGGUCGAACCUUUGUGGACGCUGACGUCAUGGCCCCGCGCGCCUCCUCACGGAGACGCCGCCGCCGCCGCUACACGCGAGCCGGGACCACGGAGAGCAGGGAGACUGAGCGGCUCGGGCCCCCGCGCAGGAAGUCCCGCCCUCCCCGCAGCGGAUAGGCUCAACCCGGCGGCUCCCCGCCCCAUCAGACGCAGUCGCUUAGACCGCUCGGCGCGCCCAGUCGAUGGGGAAAGCCUUCGCCUCACUUCCGCGCCACACUUCGCUCCACUUCCGCUCAGACAUCGGGACUUUCCAGGCAGAGGCCGACCUCUAGUCUCAGCCCCGUGCUCGCCCCCACUCAAGCACAGACACAGGGCUGAAGAGAGCAGAUUCUCUUUAUUGAGAUACGGGACACAGCGAAGGGUGGAGAAACGGAACAGCCCCCCAGCCUCAGCCCUCUCCACGGGGGCCGGAUGCCAGAGAUGGGAGAAGGGAUUCAGUCUCUCGCCCGGGAAACCCAGUCCCGCAGAGGGCGCCGGCAAGGGUGGGACGCGACCUGGGUGACACGGUGCAGGGAGUCUUUAAAUAGAGGAGGGGCUGGAGCGGGGAAACGCGCCGGGGCCCUAGCGCACCAUGUAUUCCUUGCGCUUAUUGAGCCGAACUUGGCAGAAAGAGAAGCCUCCGAGGAGGAGGUAAAGGCCUGCAGCGAUGAAACAGUUGUAGCUGACUUGCUCGUAAAGGUUGUAUAUGUUCUGGGGGCCAUUCCUGGGGGUGGGAAUGAAGCAAAGGGGUCAAACUUUAAUAGGAGCCAACAUUUUCUGAGCACUAUGUGCCCGACACCUGUUUAGGCGCUGUUACGUGUAUUACUUUAUUCAAUCUUCUUGACCAUCCUAUGGGGUGAGAUCUGUCAUAGCCAUUUUGCAGAGGUGGACUGAGAAGCACAGAAAAGUAAAAUACCUAAAGAGGUCACACCUAAGGUGGUGGGUUUGGGAUGGCCGCUGAGGUCUGACUCCCUGGCUCCUAACCACAUUCUCAAGAAAGCCGCUCUCCUCUCCAAGUCCUCUAACCUAGGGGCCCUAAGCACCGGGCCUCCCAGACGUAAUUCUGACCCUAGGCCUCGCCACCUCCCACCUGCUCCCAGCCCGCCUCCCCCACCCGAAUACUUACUCAAAAUCUUUCUCCGUGAAGGGAACGUCCUCAAUCAACACAGCGGAAUGGACAUUGAAAAAUAUUCCGAGCAUUAUCUGGAAAAGGGGAAUGGGUAGACUGUUGAAUUCAGGCACCUGACCUCAUGUUCACUUCGUAAACCCCUCCCAUUUCCAAUGUUGCUACAACACCCGAGCCUGAGAUUAACCAAAACGAGGUGGUGGUUACUGGAUUCGGACUCAGCCACCUGGAACAGGGCGUGAGGUGGUGACAUUGAGACAAGUGGUCGAGGCAAGGGUGGGAAUAGUGACCAAGCCAUCUCUCCCAGGAACCCAGAUUAUCGUCCUCUCUGGAGGCGUCAUCAUCACGGGACAGUGCGGAAGAGGGGAGGGAGAACCGGCACUUCUUCAUAUCAUUUCUUCUUGAAGUGGCGGUGGGUGGAUUACUGGGAAAACAAGGCCCAGCUACACAUUUCUGGAACAAGCACUCUCUUUUCCUCCCAUGUCCUCCAUUCAACUCAAGCACCUCUCAGGCACCCCGCUCUUGUUUCUCCUACCUUGAGGGGUCUCCACCUUUACCAGCCCUGGCUCCUCCCACUCCAGGGCCCUCCGCUCCAGUUCCCUUUUUUCUUUUUCUUUGGGGACGGAGUCUCGCUCUGUCACCCAGGCUGGAGUGCAGUGGCGCGAUCUCGGCUCACUGCACCCUCCGCCUCCCGGAUUCAAGCGAUUCUCCUGCCUCAGCCUCCUGAGUAGCUGGGAUUACAGGCGGGCGCCACCACGCCCGGCUAAUUUUUGUAUUUUUAUUGGAGACGGGGUUUCACCAUGUUGGUCAGGCUGGUCUCGAACAGUUCCCAUUUUUCAAUUUCAGUCUGUCUCCUUCUCCGGGGCCUGUAGAUCCCCGGCCCCUCCGGCCUGCCUGCGGCCCAGAGUUUCCUCGCCUCCCAGCCCUCCCAGCCCGGAGCCCCUCAGGCCCUCUCCGAUCCUUGCCGGGGAGUCCCCUCACCAACAUGAUCACUCCCCAGGCGCUGAGGACGAUGCCGCAGGCGGCCAGCUUCGGCCCACAGCACAGGAGCGACGCCAUAAAGAAGGGAGUCGGGGAUCGCCGAGGUGCAAGCGGGCUCGGAAAGCGGUGGGAGAAAGCCCAGGAUGCCCUCGCAGGGGGGCAGAGGGGGCGUGGCCCCGGCCUCAACCAUCCCAUCCGGGGGCGGCAGGCGGAAAAGGCUGGGCUCCUCUCAGGACUUUCGCGGGAGACGGCGCCGUCUGAAACCAAAACUGCUCCUGGGGAAACCUUCCUUGACCUCUGUAGCUAGGGCGUGAGUAUUGGAAGAGCGAGGGCCUCCGGUUUGUUGGUCCCCCUCCCCCCGCACACGGGAAUGGAAGGAGCUGGUAUGUCACGUGACCAAGCCUGUCACGUCACGUGACGAGGAACUAGCCUUAGCGAGGCCAUGGGGGAAAAAGUCUAACUGGCGGAACUCCUGGGAACUGGGGCGAUGGGCUCUUAGUAUCGGAGGAUUGGAGCCAUCUGAUUUUUACCUGAAAUUCCUUAGUCUCUCCUGUGUUGGGGAAAUGGUCACCUUGCCUUCAGGGACCUGGGCUUUCAGCUGUCCAUACCUGGCCCUGGUUGAUGGCGGCAUGCUGGGCAGUGCACGUGAAGACGCACAUGAGACCGGGACUUGCUGUGUUGCCCAGGCUGGUCUUGAACUCCUGGUCUUAAGCAAUCAUACUGCUUUGGCCACCCAAAGCACUGGGAUUACAGGCGUGAACCACCACACCCAGCUCUUAAAACCACAGUAUUUCUAGAGACAGCAUCUCGUAUGUUGCCCAGGCUGGCCUUGAAAGCCUGGCCUCAAGCCAUCUUCCUGCCUCAGCCUCCCAAGUAGCUGGGAUCACAGGGUUGUGGCAUCACAGCUGGCUAUAUUCUUAACAUUAUUUUGUAACCAUUCCAACCCCCAGAAAUUUCUCUCUGGCUGACUUGAUCCACAGCGCCUCCAUCGCCAUCCCUGAGUGCCUUGUUGUGGAAAAUCUUACUUUAUCUUGGUUCUGUUUGGUAUAAUCGGGGAAAGUCUGUAUUCUUUCAUUAUGUAAAACAACUUAUCUCUCAUUGUUUCAUCUCCUUUCUGAGCUCUGCUCUGCCAGCUCUCUUUCCAAAACCAAAAUGGCUCUUCAAGUUAUUUUGUAAAUAAUAAUGGGCCAUCUACUUCUUAACAUAAAUGAAUGAUUUUCCAAGGUCAAGUUCUCUGGUUUCACUGACUUCUCCACCAGUGUCUGUAAACUGAAAAAUGCAGAUUGACUCUCUUAAGAUUCAUACAUUGCCUUCCUACCCUCAAGAACAAUUGGCUACAGUCAGGGCUGUGUGUGUGUGUGUGUGUGUGUGUGUGUAUGAUUUUGAUGGAAGCAAGAAAAGUAAUGUGUUCAAUUUAAUCCCACAAAACCCUAAGUAGUAGAUAUUAUUUAUCUCUUUAACAAAUGAAGGGAUACACUUCAUUUAUUCCUUCUUUAGUUUCUUCAUUAAUGGCCUUGAAAUCCUAGGCUCACCUGAUCCUCCCACCUGAGCCUCACGAGUUGCUGGCACUACAGGCCCUCACCACCAUGCCAGGCUAAUUAUUUUUUUAUUUUUAUUUUUUGUAGAGACAAAGUCACCCUAUGUUGCUCAGGCUGGUCUUGAACUCCUGGCCUCAAGUGAUCCCCCUAUCUUGGCCUCCCACAGUGUUGGGAUUAUAGGUGUGAGCCGAUGUGCCUGGGCAUAUAUGUUUAUUGUGCACCUAGCGUACACACACAUGCACGUGGCAUUAGUCUUUGUUCCAGUCAUUUUCUGAGAAGGAGUGUUUAAGAGGUACAUUUUUUGACAUCUUGCAUAUUUGAAACUGUCUCUAUUCAACUUAAACUUGAUGGUAAUUUGCCUAAGACUAGAAUCCUGGAUGGGAAAUAAACUUCUCUCAAAGUUUUGAAGGUAUGUUUGUUAGUAAAGGUAUAGGCUAAGCUCUGUAACAAACCUCCCCCAAAUACAGUGACUUAAACAUCUGAUUAAUAGUUUCUAUACUGGCCGGGCCUGGUGGCUCACACCUGUAAUCCCAGCACUUUGGGAGGCCAAGGCGGGUGGAUCACGAGGUCAGGAGUUCAAGAUCAGCCUGGCCAAGAUGGUGAAACCCCGUCUCUACUAAAAACUACAAAAAUUAGCCAGGCGCGGUGGUGGGCCCCCGUAAUCCCAGCUACUUGGGAGGCUGAGGCAGGAGAAUCGCUUGAACCCGGGAGGUGGAGGUUGCAGUGAGCUGAGAUGGUGCCACUGCACUCCUGCCUGGGCUACAGAAAGAGACUCCAUUAAAAAAAAAAAGACUUCCUAUAUUGUCAUUGUCUCUAAUAAUCUCCACCUCUCUCUCUCUCUCUCUUUUUUUUUUUUACCACUUUCUUGGAAAUUUCCACCUCUUCUAUUGAAUUAAAACUUUUUUUUGCUAUUGAACAUUUUCUGUCUUGUUCUGUGAUUGUUGCUUUCAGAAAACAUCCUGCUUUUGUUUCAAAGAUGCUAAUCUUCUCUAGUAUUUCUGAACAUAGUAAAUAUAGUUUAAAAAAUCUGUUUCUUCAUUAUUCCUAUUUUCUCUGAGUCCCUCUUUUUAAAUAUCUGUUGAUCCUUGAUUUUUUUUUUUUUUUGAGACUGGCUCUGUUGCCAGGCUAGAGUGCAGGGGCGCGAUCUCGGCUCACUGCAACCUCCAUCUCCUGAGUUCAAGCAGUUCUCCUGCCUCAGCUGGGAUUACAGGCAUGUGCUACCACGCCCAGCUAAUUUUGUAUUUUUAGUAGAGACGGGGUUUCACCAUGGUGGCCAGGCUGGUCUCGAACUCCUGACCUCAAAUGAUCCACCCGCCUCAGCCUCCCAAAGUGCUGGGAUUACCGGCGUGAGCCACCGCUCCCGGCCCCUGAUCCUUGACUUUAUUUAAGAGUGAGGCAAUAAAAAAAGAUAAUCCGGACUGUUGGUGGGGUUUUUCAAUGUAAUGAGCAGAGAUCUGGUCAAUUGAUAAUUGACACGGUUCCUCCCACAGUCAGUAUUUGUAGGUCUUUUCUAUUGGGAUGCUUGGUUUCUUCGGAGACCAACCUUCUAAUUUCCCUUUUGGGGUGUAGAUGCCCAACCAUCAGCAUUAUUGGCAGUAUUUGAAGAGGACUGGGGAGUCACCAUUCAGUGUGUUGCUUUUGUUACAUUUUCUUUUGUUCCACAGGGCACAUUUACCUGAUGUCCGAAGUCCAGCGUCCCCCUCUGCUCUAGCAGACGAUAAACUUCUAGUCUUCUGCUGGAGAGGAGGGAGAAUUGCCUGACUUAGUGGAUGAUAAAGGAAUAUGGGGGCCAUUUGCUUUUUAUAUGGACUUUCUUUUGUUUGUUUGUUUUUUUGAGACGAAGUCUUGCUCUUGUCCCCCAGGCUGUAGUGCAGUGGUGCGAUCUCUGCUAACUGCAACCUCUGCCUCCUGGGUUCAAGCAAUUUUCCUUCCGCAGCCUCCCGAGUAGCCGGGAUUACAGGUGCUCGCCACCACGCCCAGCUAAUUUUUGGUAUUUUAAGUACAGACAGAGUUUCACCAUGUUGGCCAGGCUGGUCUCAAACUCCUGACCUCAGGCAAUCCACCCGCCUUGACCUCCCAAAGUGCUGGGAUUACAGGCGUGAGCCACCGCGCCUGGCCUUUAUGUAGACUUUCAAUCAAUUCUACUGUGUUCAGCCUCAUGUGUACCCCUACCUUCAGUAGUUAUUGGUACAGUAGCCCCCUUUUUCUAGUGGGGAGACCUUCUAACUUCCAAGAUCCCCAGUGGAUGCCUGAAGCCAUAGACAUACCAAAUCUAUAGAUACAGUCAGCCCUCCUUAUCCAUGGGGGCAGAACCCAUAGAUCCCAACCCACCGUGUAUCGAAAAUAUUAGAAAAAAUUUGCAUCUGCACUGACCAGAAUUCAAAAUUUUUGAAUUUUUCCUGUCAUUAUUUCCCAAAUAAUAUAGUAUUACAACUUUCCAUAUAGCAUUUACAUCAUAUUCGGUAUUAUAAGUAAUCUAGAGAUGGUUUAAAGUGUAUGGGAUGAUGUGUAUAAGUUAAAUGCAAAUACUGCACCAUUUUAUACAGCAUUUGAGGAUUCAGCAUCUGAGGAUUUUGGUACAAGAGAGGGGGGACUUGUCUUAGACUGUAGGAGGUCCUGAAACAGUCUCCGCCUGGAUACUGAGGGAUACAGUACUAGAUUUUUUCCUAUAUCGUACAUACAUCUCUAUGACAAGGUUUAAUAUAUCAAUUAGGCCUAGUAAGAGAUUAAGAACAUUAGGAAUAAACAAAUAUAAAUGCAAAUUAAAAAUAAAGAAAAAACUAUAAAAAUAAUUAGCUGGGCAUGGUGGCGGGCACCUGUAGUCCCAGCUACCUGGGA
rnacentral:lncRNA from 1 species